GCCAUCCUAGCUCAGUUGGUAGAGCAUCUGAUUCGUAAUCAGAAGGUCGUCGGUUCAAAUCCGAUGGAUGGCUCCA
rnacentral:tRNA from 1 species